ACACAAGGAAGGAGGUGGUCUGAAAUUGAAGUACAGACGGACGCGUGAGGUGGCUGCCAGCUAGCCGCAAUCGCUGAUGGAAUUCACUUACCGCGUGAGCGGCCGGCGAAUCCCAGGCAGCCACCCGACCCCCGAGCCCCCGAUCAGUCCGACCGGGAUCCGCGCGAAAGCGUGGGUGUGGCUCGGGGGUCGCUUCGU
rnacentral:sRNA from 19 species